GACGGAGGAUGCAAGCGUUAUCCGGAAUGAUUGGGCGUAAAGCGUCCGCAGGUGGCAGUUCAAGUCUGCUGUCAAAGACCGGGGCUUAACUUCGGAAAGGCAGUGGAAACUGAACAGCUAGAGUAUGGUAGGGGCAGAGGGAAUUCCUGGUGUAGCAGUGAAAUGCGUAGAGAUCAGGAAGAACAUCAGUGGCGAAGGCGCUCUGCUGGACCAUAACUGACACUCAGGGACGAAAGCUAGGGGAGCGAAUGGG
rnacentral:rRNA from 1 species